CCUGGUUGAUCCUGCCAGUAGCAUAUGCUUGUCUCAAAGAUUAAGCCAUGCAUGUCUAAGUACAAGCCGCUAUGCGGCGAAACCGCGAAUGGCUCAUUAAAUCAGUUAUGGUUCCUUAGAUCGUACCAUCCUACUUGGAUAACUGUGGUAAUUCUAGAGCUAAUACAUGCAAAGAAGCCCCGACCUCACGGGAGGGGUGCUUUUAUUAGAUCAAAACCAAUCGGGCUUCGGCCCGUCCACUUGGUGACUCUGAAUAACUUUGAGCUGAUCGCACGGUCUCGAACCGGCGACGCAUCUUUCAAAUGUCUGCCUUAUCAACUGUCGAUGGUAGGUUAUGCGCCUACCAUGGUUGCAACGGGUAACGGGGAAUCAGGGUUCGAUUCCGGAGAGGGAGCCUGAGAAACGGCUACCACAUCCAAGGAAGGCAGCAGGCGCGCAAAUUACCCACUCCCGGCACGGGGAGGUAGUGACGAAAAAUAACGAUACGGGACUCUUCCGAGGCCCCGUGAUUGGAAUGAGUACACUUUAAAUCCUUUAACGAGGACCUAUUGGAGGGCAAGUCUGGUGCCAGCAGCCGCGGUAACUCCAGCUCCAAUAGCGUAUAUUAAAGUUGUUGCGGUUAAAAAGCUCGUAGUUGGAUUCCGGUCUCGGCCGGGUGGUGCCGCCUUUCACGGUGUUCGCACUGCCCAGGCCGGACAAUCAACCGGACUCUAUCCGGGGUGCUCUUAACCGGGUGUCCCGGGUGGCCGGUACGUUUACUUUGAACAAAUUAGAGUGCUCAAAGCAGGUGCAUCGCGCCUGAAUAUCACAGCAUGGAAUGAUGGAAUAGGACCUCGGUCUUAUUUUGUUGGUUUUCUGGACCCGAGGUAAUGGUUAAUAGAGACAGACGGGGGCAUUCGUACUGCGACGCUAGAGGUGAAAUUCUUGGACCGUCGCAAGACGAACAACUGCGAAAGCAUUUGCC
rnacentral:rRNA from 1 species